ensembl:lncRNA
AUGGCCAUCAUCUUCCACAACCAGGGAGUCAUGGACAGAGCCCGCCGCGACCACAAUGACUUUCUGAAGAAGUCGGUGAGUGAUGGCAGAACGUUUCCCUCCUCUGAGAAGCUUGUAGUGCAGCGCAGGCAGUUGCUGGAGUGGUGCCGAAAGGAAAUGCUGCCGAAGACAGAGUCCCCACUGAAUGCAGAGCUGAUGAAGGACAAAGAGGCCCUGCUGAGGGAGCUGGAGGCAGAGCUGAUGUGGAUGGCUGAGUCCUUCAAGGCAACUAAUGAGAAGCACAAGAAGAUGGUGCUGAGAGUGGUCUACGCAGCUGCUCGUGCUGGGGUCUUCGCAGCUGCUGAUGCAGCUAGGGUCGUCAUAGCUGCUCAUGCUAGGGUCGUCGCAGCUGCUGAUGCUGGGCUCGUCGCAGCUGCUGAUGCUGGGCUCGUCGCAGCUGCUGGUGCUGCUAGGGUCGUCAUAGCUGCUCGUGCUGGGGUCGUUGCAGCUGCUGAUGCUUGGUUCGUCGCAGCUGCUGGUGCUGGGGUCGUCGCAGCUGCUGGUGCUGGGGUCGUCGCAGCUGCUGGUGCUGGGGUCGUCGCAGCUGCUGGUGCUGCUGGGGUCGUCGCAGCUGCUCAUGUUAGGGUCGUUGCUGGUGCUGGGGUCAUCGCAGCUGGUGGUACUGGGGUUGCAGCUGCUGGUGCUGGGCUCAUCAUAGCUGCUGAUGCUGGGCUCAUCGCAGCUGCUGGUACUGGGCUUGUCAUAGCUGCUGGUGCUGGGCUCGUCGCAGCUGUUGGUGCUAGGCUUUUCGCAGCUGCUCGUGCAGGAGUCGUCGCACCUGCUCGUGCAGGAGUCGUCGCACCUGCUCGUGCAAGAGUCGUCACAUCUGCUGGUGCUGGGCUCGUCGCACCUGCUCGUGCAAGAGUCGUCGCACCUGUUGGUGCUGGGGUCAUUGCACCUGCUCGUGCAGAGGUCGUCGCACCUGCUCGUGCAGGAGUCGUCGCACCUGCUGGUGCUGGGGUCAUCACAGCUGCUGGUGCUAGGGUCGUUGCAGCUCUUGGUGCUGGGGUCACCGCGGCUACUCGUGCAGGAGUCGUCGCAGCUGCUGGUGCUGGGGUCAGCACGGCUGCUCAUGCUGGAGUCACCGCGGCUACUCGUGCUAGGCUCAUCAUAGCUGUCAGUGUGGGAGUCGUCGUAGCUGUCUGGGCUAUUUUCAUCAAGUGUAACUGAGGGAACAGCUAUUGCUGCUGGUGCGGGCGGCAUAGCUGGGAUCUGGUCAGGCUUGGGUGAGGGGGAGAGGGACUCUAACCCCGAUAGCAAAGUUCGUUGUCUAACUGCGAGAGAGACAGGCAACACCAGCAAGGUCCGAUUGAAAGCUCUUCAUUGACAAGUGCACGCAUCAAUAGAGAGCAGCUCGUCUCCAGAGAGAACCAGCCUGCUCUUUACAUCUUAGUAUAAGCCUAUAUAGACAGUUCCAUCGCCAUCAUAAAUUAUUCACUGGAGCAACCCACCCCCUUCUUCUAACAACUAGAAACUAGACACCUUUAGUAUACAUGCAUGCCUAAAGUUAGAAAUGUAGGGGAGUUAAAAACAAGCAACGAACAAAACCAGGGAGUGAAAACAAGGAGGCUGGGAAACUAGGGCUCUUAUCAGUUCUUCGAAGGAGCUGCCCGAACACAGCACAUCUGGUACUAUGCCAGGAAUGCAGCUUCUCUUAUCUCAUUUUUUCCCAGCGCUUGUGAGACAUGCUGCUGCUUUUCAGUGUUUUCCACUCAGGGAUUACCCACAAACCUCUGUUAGCCUGACUUUGGUCAGGUUGGCAUACCUGGUUUUGUCUGCAAUAUCUUUAUUCAGGCCUAACAUCCACAAACCACCCCAGAGCGGGGGAGUCGUCACCCACAGAUUCUAAGAAGGGACAUUGGUCCAACCCGCUCUUGAAAACCUCCAAUCCCUGUGUGACACCCAGGCCCAGCGCCACCCGCCGGUGGAGGGUUCAGUGCCCAGUGUCAGCAACACCUAACAGGCCUGACAAACUUGCCGCACCUAACACACCGCUGUCACGGUAUUUAGCCAGUCCCUUCCAGUUCUAUGCGAUAGGUAUAUCUCCAUACGUUGUUAUAAACAGGUGUAAUCCUUCUUAGGCUUGCCCAGAAAUUACAGGCUAUUUGUACGCAAUACAGCCAGAUGGCUGCCCCACUGACCAAAAACAAACAGCCAAAUGCAGUUCAGUGGACUGAUGAGUUGUCAUAAACAGAUAGCUAAGGGUUAAUGUCUCUUUCACCUGUAAAGGGUUAACAAACAGUGAACCUGCAACACCUGACCAGAGGACCAAUCAGGAGACAAGAUACUUUAAAAUCUCGGUGGAGGGAAGUCUCUGUUUUGUGGCUUUUGGGUUUGUACUUUGUUCUCUCUGGGUCCUGGAUGGGACUAGAGGUGCAACCAGGUUUCUGCCAAUCUCCCUGCUACAGUCUCUUAUCUAUUCAGAAUUGUGAGUAAGAAAAGGCAGUCAUAGUCUUUUAAUUUGUUUUUUUUCAUUUACAUAUGUGUACUUGCUGGAAGUAGCUUAAAUUGUGUUUCUGCUGGAGAAAGUUUCUUUCUAUUGUUUAUAAGUUGAAAGACACUGUAACUAUUUACCAUCUAAAGUGCAGAGAUAAACCUUUUACUUUUUUCCUUCUUUUUUUAUUAAAAGCUUUGCUUUAAGACCUGUCUGAUUUUUUUCUCCUAGUUAAGGCUCAAAGGACUUGAGUCUGUGUACUCACCAGGGAAUUG